rnacentral:lncRNA from 1 species
AAUCAUGAUGCUUUUCAUGAACGGCGUCGUGGAUUCGGCGUGAAUAAAGGUGGUUCGUGGAUUCGGAUCGUUGGCUCGUGGAUUCGAGUGGCGUCGUGGAUUCGGCGUAAUUGAAGCUUCGUGCAUUUGAAGUGGAGGCGUUCGUGGACUCGAACGUGAGGGCGUGGACAACCCGGAGAGUAGCGCGAAGAUUCAUAGGAGGUUAAGAGAGGUUGAGUUCAUGGAGUCGGUAAUCACCUUGUAAUCUUUUCUCUUAGUGAAUUAUUUUUUCGUGUGUUGGUCCCGUGGGUUUUUCU